rnacentral:rRNA from 1 species
UACAGAGGUCCCAAGCGUUGUUCGGAUUCACUGGGCGUAAAGGGUGCGUAGGUGGUGAGGUAAGUCGGAUGUGAAAUCUCCGAGCUCAACUCGGAAACUGCAUUGGAAACUACCUUGCUCGAGGGUUGGAGGGGGGACUGGAAUGCUUGGUGUAGCAGUGAAAUGCGUAGAUAUCAAGCGGAACACCAGUGGCGAAGGCGAGUCCCUGGACAACUCCGUGACACUGAGGCACGAAAGCUAGGGGAGCAAACAGG